rnacentral:rRNA from 1 species
GACGAACGCUGGCGGCGUGCCUAAUACAUGCAAGUCGAGCGAAGUUUUUCUGGUGCUUGCACUAGAAAAACUUAGCGGCGAACGGGUGAGUAACACGUAAAGAACCUGCCUCAUAGACUGGGACCACUAUUGGAAACGAUAGCUAAUACCGGAUAACAGUAUUUCUCGCAUGAGAGAUAUUUAAAAGUUGGUUAUGCUAACACUAUGAGAUGGCUUUGCGGUGCAUUAGCUAGUUGGCGGGGUAAAGGCCCACCAAGGCGACGAUGCAUAGCCGACCUGAGAGGGUGAUCGGCCACACUGGGACUGAGACACGGCCCAGACUCCUACGGGAGGCAGCAGUAGGGAAUCUUCCGCAAUGGGCGAAAGCCUGACGGAGCAACGCCGCGUGAGUGAAGAAGGAUUUCGGUUCGUAAAGCUCUGUUGUUAGGGAAGAAUGGAUAUGUAGUAACUAUACAUGUAAGAGACGGUACCUAACCAGAAAGCCACGGCUAACUACGUG